CGACGACAGCAAGCUUGAUGGCGAGCUCGACGGCGGCGGAGACGUCUUCUGUACUGCGAGCUCCACCAUGCCUUCACAUACUGUACUGCGAGCUCGACGACGGCGGUGGCGUCUUCUUGGCAGGAGUAGAAAAUUUGGAGUACACAGUGUACCGAGUUCUCUUACUCCGUCAAAUUACUCUUGGCUGUAACUAGAGGAACAUGAUGGCCAUUCCUUACAGAAACAUGGUAACUUCAAAAGAAGAAACAUCAAUCAACUCUUGUACUGCUCUAGUGUGUCACUUGGACAAUUCAAACAGUUAACUGAAAGUGUCUAAAACAGUUAAGUGUUUCUGGGAUUUCUUUUUCUUCAGCAAGGCAUGAUUUCUUCUUUCUUCUUCUUUUUUCUCUAGUGUGUCAUGCCUUUUUUUUAGACUAAAAGUGAAUCAGAGCAAAAAUCUUCUGUGUCAGUGUGCUAGAAAUAAGAAGAAGUUACAAAUUUUCAAUUACAUUCAUAACACUUUGCUCUAACUAAAUUGUUUUGCUCUCAGUUUAAGUUGCAGAUUUGACCUGGAAUGACCAGUCAGUUUAAGUUACAUAUUCUAGUAAUGUGAGCACAAGCACAUUUGUACUGCUCUCAGUUUAAGUUACAGAUCACAUUCACAACACUUAGUUUGGAAAACUUCAAAGCAUCAAUAUCUAUUCCUGCUACCCCUGGUCUUGAUCCAACCAUUGCAAACUCAGGUAAAGUACCCUGCCCCUGCUCCUUCACAUGCUUCCGGUGACUGAAAAUGGGAAUUAACAGCAAUAGUAACUAGCCAAUAUUGUGUUCUCACUGCUCACAAGCAACAGUAACAGCAAGCAUGAAAUACUUUGAAUUUUGACCCUGACAAUGAAUUUCGAUUGUAAUCCAAUUAAACUCUUUGUAUAACCUGUUAAUUUUGAUUGCAAUCAAGCUUUCGCAGGAACAAAUGAACAAUUUACUCUAAUGUGAUCAAGAUUUCGCAGGAACAGAGGCGGAGUACCAGAGGCGUCGCGCGUCGGGGUCGGGGGCGGGAAAAAAAGAAGGCUCAUUCUAGUUUCUACAACAGGUUAUGCUAGUGAAUUCAAACUAUGCUUUGUUUGAUUCAGAUUAUGCAAGUGAAUUCAGUUACUUCACCUCACCUUCACUUCACCAAAUUUCUGACACAGGACACUGAAUGGAGUAUGAUUGACAGACACAGAACACUGUAAAUUUCAGAUAACAUCAGCAGUAGAUCAGCAUUGCAAUUGACAAUUUUAAUACUCCAAUUAACACUGCAAUUGACGCUGAUGGAGUACUUCAUUGACAACUGAAAUUGAUACUGCAAUUGGCACUGUACCUGCAGCCAACAGCAGCAGCAGAGGCAAUCAGUAGUCGAGGUGAUCGAGGGCAGAGGCAAUCAACAGACGAGGGCAGGUGGCAGUGGCAUCAGCAGGUCUGCGUGGUCAUCUCGUCGGCGGGGAAGAUCCGCCUGGCCCUGCCUGCCGAAUUCUUCAAGAGGGGAGCGGCGACCGGGGUCGGCAGCGGCGGCUGGGGUUGCCUCGGGGGUGAAGAACCGGCGAGCAGGGCCAGGGACGCGAGCAGGGCCACGAGGAGGAGGCGCCCGUCGAGGUGGUCGCCUUGGGGGAGCAGCCUCAGCUGGGCGGCGGGGCAGCUCGCCUCCGUGCGGAAGGCCACGUUCGCAGCGGCGGGGCAGCUCGCCUCCGUGUGGACGACCCACGUUCGCAGCGGCGGAGCAACCGCAGGUGGGCGACGGCGCAGGUGGGCGGCGGCGGAGGUGGUCGCCCGAUCUUUCUACGGCGGCUGCUACAUUGUGGAUUCCAAACCUGCUACAUCCUAUAACUCUACUCGAAUAAGAAAACUAAACCAAUCCAGAAAGGAUUCCGAAUUGAAGAUUAUGUCUUCCGUAUCA